AUACGUAGGGUGCAAGCGUUAAUCGGAAUUACUGGGCGUAAAGCGUGCGCAGGCGGCUUUGUAAGACAGAGGUGAAAUCCCCGGGCUCAACCUGGGAACUGCCUUUGUGACUGCAAGGCUAGAGUACGGCAGAGGGGGGUGGAAUUCCGCGUGUAGCAGUGAAAUGCGUAGAUAUGCGGAGGAACACCGAUGGCGAAGGCAAUCCCCUGGGCCUGUACUGACGCUCAUACACGAAAGCGUGAGGAGCAAACAGGAUUAGAUACCCUGGUAGUCCACGCCCUAAACGAUGUCAACUGGUUGUUGGGUCUUCAUUGACUCAGGAACGAAGCGAACGCGUGAAGUGGACCGCCUGGGGAGUACGGCCGCAAGGUUGAAACUCAAAGGAAUUGACGGGG
rnacentral:rRNA from 1 species